GGUCCGGAAGGCAGCAGCGCCAGAGAUAUCUCCAUCGGCG
rnacentral:SRP_RNA from 11 species